AAAGCUCAUCAUUGACUAACCCAAGUUAGGAAAAACUCUUCAUUGACUAACCCAUCUCAACUCAUCACCAAGAAAAUCUGUGCCUUAGGAGGCAGGCAAGCACCCAUCGCUCUUAAUAGACCGUCAGAGUCUGAAGGGAGCUCAAAAAGUGUUUUUUCUGAAGUGUCACAGACAAGGGAUAGAUCCCAUGGAGAUCGUGUCGUUCCUGUGCUGCAUGCUUUAUCCCUUAUCCUUCAUCACUUUCAUCAAGUGACUUACAGCCACAGUCAGUCUUGUGUUGCUCUCCAUGGCUAGAGGGCACGCGAGCAAAACCAGAGCGAACAGCCACCAGAGCGAUGAAACCCUAAGAUGGUGGAAGAGGGAUGGCUGUGAAAUGGCGGCUGGGAGCUUGGCCGCACGCCCUGCGCUGGAGGGAUUUCUGCAGGAGGCUCCCACCGCGCUCGGCUGCUGCCCUCUGCCCGCUCCGUCGGAGAAAGCAGCCGCAGCUCUGCCGGGGCGGCAGGGAGGCCCCGCUGCAUCUCCCAGCAACUCUCAUCAUUCCCAGCCGACGGCGGGGAGCUUCUUUCCGCGCUGGGAAUGAGUCCUGUUUGCACGUGGAUGUGUGUACGGGCGCUAGCUGGUUGUGUCUAGAUAUGCCUCUAAAGCAUACAUUGAUUUCUGCUUGUUUCGUCUUUAUUGAAUGAUAUCUGUGCUUUAUGAUAUAUAUUUUUUGUCCUUGUAUUUUUUUUCCUGAAUCAUGAAAUCCAAGCAGAGCUUUCAAUGUAUCUCAUUACUUCUGUAGCUGUACAAAAGGAGACACAUUAAAAAAGCCGCUUUCCCUCUCCAAAGUUUUUCUGACUCUUUUUUCAUGAUGUUAUAUUUGCAACAAACUCUUAAACGUAAUGAAAGCAGUUAGCUGCAGAUAAGAGCUGACUUGGAAAGAGAUGCUCCUUGUUCAAGAAGUUUGCAGUCUUAUUAUUGUCGCACUGCCUUUUAGCUUGUGUAACACUGCCUUACUAGCAAGUGUGUUAUAUGUUGUAAGGAAUUUUCUAUUUUCUUAAAUUGGAUUUUAAAUUAAAAAAAAGAAAAAAGAAAAAA